rnacentral:rRNA from 1 species
AGUGAACGCUGGCGGUAGACCUAACACAUGCAAGUCGAACGGCGGCACAGUAAGAGCUUGCUCUUACGGGUGGCGAGUGGCGGACGGGUGAGGAAUACAUCGGAAUCUACUUUUUCGUGGGGGAUAACGUAGGGAAACUUACGCUAAUACCGCAUACGACCUACGGGUGAAAGCAGGGAAUCUUCGGACCUUGCGCGAUUGAAUGAGCCGAUGUCGGAUUAGCUAGUUGGCGGGGUAAAGGCCCACCAAGGCGACGAUCCGUAGCUGGUCUGAGAGGAUGAUCAGCCACACUGGAACUGAGACACGGUCCAGACUCCUACGGGAGGCAGCAGUGGGGAAUAUUGGACAAUGGGCGCAAGCCUGAUCCAGCCAUACCGCGUGGGUGAAGAAGGCCUUCGGGUUGUAAAGCCCUUUUGUUGGGAAAGAAAAGCAGCAGGUUAAUACCCCGCUGUUCUGACGGUACCCAAAGAAUAAGCACCGGCUAACUUCGUG